AUUGAACGCUGGCGGCAGGCUUAACACAUGCAAGUCGAGCGGAGAGAGGUAGCUUGCUACUGAUCUUAGCGGCGGACGGGUGAGUAAUGCUUAGGAAUCUGCCUAUUAGUGGGGGACAACAUUUCGAAAGGAAUGCUAAUACCGCAUACGUCCUACGGGAGAAAGCAGGGGAUCUUCGGACCUUGCGCUAAUAGAUGAGCCUAAGUCGGAUUAGCUAGUUGGUGGGGUAAAGGCCUACCAAGGCGACGAUCUGUAGCGGGUCUGAGAGGAGGAGCCGCCACACUGGGACUGAGACACGGCCCAGACUCCUACGGGAGGCAGCAGUGGGGAAUAGUGGACAAUGGGCUGAAGCCGGAUCCAGCCAUGCCGCGUGUGUGAAGAAGGCCUUAUGGUUGUAAAGCACUUUAAGCGAGGAGGAGGCUACUUUAGUUAAUACCUAGAGAUAGUGGACGUUACUCGCAGAAUAAGCACCGGCUAACUCUGUGCCAGCCGCCGCAGUAA
rnacentral:rRNA from 1 species